UGUAAACUCCUGUUGUUGAGGAAGAUAAUGACGGUACUCAACAAGGAAGUGACGGCUAACUACGUGCCAGCAGCCGCGGUAAAGCGUAGGUCACAAGCGUUGUCCGGAAUUACUGGGUGUAAAGGGAGCGCAGGCGGGAAGACAAGUUGGAAGUGAAAUCCAUGGGCUCAACCCAUGAACUGCUUUCAAAACUGUUUUUCUUGAGUAGUGCAGAGGUAGGCGGAAUUCCCGGUGUAGCGGUGGAAUGCGUAGAUGUCGGGAGGAACACCAGUGGCGAAGGCGGCCUACUGGGCACCAACUGACGCUGAGGCUCGAAAGUGUGGGUAGCAAACAGGAUUAGAUACCCUGGUAGUCCACACCGUAAACGAUGAUUACUAGGUGUUGGAGGAUUGACCCCUUC
rnacentral:rRNA from 1 species